rnacentral:rRNA from 1 species
UUUGCCUGGCGGCACUAGCGCGGUGGUCCCACCUGACCCCAUGCCGAACUCAGAAGUGAAACGCCGUAGCGCCGAUGGUAGUGUGGGGUCUCCCCAUGCGAGAGUAGGGAACUGCCAG